AGAGAUAAAUAAGGUGGUUUUUUGUGGGCAGAAUUUUCGACAUCGACCGGGACAAGCUUGUAUUGGAGGCCUUUCUCGCAUAGGCAAAGCAAGACGCGUGCAGUGCAUGUAGAGAGGGGAAUUCCAUGAACUUUGAUCACCAUGGAUAUUUGCUGUAAGCUAUUCUUUAUUUCACCAAGAAAUGAAGAUGAGGGUUGAGAAGAAAAUGUUGAAAUGGCAUCUAUGGGAAGAAAUGAUACAGCUGCUUCAAUGCUUGCAUAAAUUAUUCACACUCCAAUCCAAGUGCCUAGAAUUAACCUGUUAUGUGUGAAGCUAAGAUUGAAAGGGAAGAGGGCAAGUAAUUUAUAGAGAAAGUGAGAUGA